UCAGCCAAUCACGUUUGGUGUUCACGCUAGCUAUAUAACAAUAUUUAUUGUCAUAUAGCUAGCGUGAACACCAAACGUGAUUGGCUGAUUU